GGAAUCUUCGGGCAAUGGACGAAAAGUCUGACCGAGCAACGCCGCGUGAGUGAAGAAGGUUUUCGGAUCGUAAAACUCUGUUGGUAGAGAAGAACGUUGGUGAGAGUGGAAAGCUCAUCAAGUGACGGUAACUACCCAGAAAGGGACGGCUAACUACGUGCCAG
rnacentral:rRNA from 1 species